CCUACGGGGGGCAGCAGUGAGGAAUAUUGGUCAAUGGGCGGAAGCCUGAACCAGCCAAGUCGCGUGCGGGAUGAAGGCCCUACGGGUCGUAAACCGCUUUUGUAAGGGGAUAACACCCUCGACUUGUCGUGGUCUGCAUGUACCGUGCGAAUAAGGACCGGCUAAUUCCGUGCCAGCAGCCGCGGUAAUACGGAGGACCCGAGCGUUAUCCGGAUUUAUUGGGUUUAAAGGGUGCGUAGGCGGGCGUUCAAGUCAGCGGGAAAAUCGUGCGGCUCAACCGCGCCCCGCAGUUGAAACUGGACGCCUUGAGUUCGCAACAGGCAGGCGGAAUGCGUGGUGUAGCGGUGAAAUGCAUAGAUAUCACGAGGAACCCCGAUUGCGAAGGCAGCCUGCCGGGGUGCGACUGACGCUGAGGCUCGAAGGUGCGGGUAUCGAACAGGAUUAGAUACCCUAGUAGUC
rnacentral:rRNA from 1 species